rnacentral:lncRNA from 1 species
AGGAGACUGAGAAACUGAACGUUGAAAAUGUUGUAAAGCAAAGGGAACAUCAAAAGAUCUCCAGGAAACGGCAAACACCCAGAGUUCAGCAAUCUCUGAAAAAGAUCCCCUCCUCCCAUCUCCAUGUCUGGAUAAGAGAGACUCCCAAGACAAAGGGCAAUCAAGAUCAGAGAAGAUGCUGUGUCUCUCUCUGACCUGCACAUUUCAGUACUGGAGAAGAAAAGGAAGAACACGGAAAGCAGGAAGAGUAGAACAAAAGAUGGUGACAGAUUUUUGAAAGACAAGCAUCUCCUAGCAGCUCCUGUGUGGAUUUCUUCAGCCAAGUCUUGCAGGAACCUCAGUGUCCAACAAGCAGAGCCCCCAGCCUUUACAUGUCUUAGCAAAUUCACG